GACGAACGCUGGCGGCGUGCCUAACACAUGCAAGUCGUGCGGCAGCAGGCCGGUUCCUCGUGAACCGGUGCUGGCGAGCGGCGAACGGGUGAGUAACGCGUGGGCAACCUACCCUGGAGACCGGGAUAACCCCGGGAAACUGGGGCUAAUACCGGAUAAGCUCACAGCCUCGCAUGAGGCAGUGAGAAAAGGCCUUCGGGCCGCUCCAGGAUGGGCCCGCGUCCCAUUAGGUAGUUGGUGGGGUAACGGCCUACCAAGCCUACGAUGGGUAGCCGGCCUGAGAGGGUGUCCGGCCACACUGGGACUGAGACACGGCCCAGACUCCUACGGGAGGCAGCAGUGGGGAAUAUUGGGCAAUGGGCGCAAGCCUGACCCAGCGACGCCGCGUGGGGGAUGAAGGCCUUCGGGUCGUAAACCCCUGUCAGGAGGGAAGAAGCGGGCUUUGCCCGUGACGGUACCUCCAGAGGAAGCCCCGGCUAACUACGUGCCAGCAGCCGCGGUAAUACGUAGGGGGCUAGCGUUGUCCGGAUUCACUGGGCGUAAAGCGCACGCAGGCGGCCCAGUAAGUCGGACGUGAAAUCCCACGGCUCAACCGUGGAAUUGCGUUCGAUACUGCUGGGCUAGAGGACGGGAGAGGAAGGUGGAAUUCCCGGUGUAGCGGUGAAAUGCGCAGAUAUCGGGAGGAACACCAGUGGCGAAGGCGGCCUUCUGGCCCGUUCCUGACGCUCAGGUGCGAAAGCCAGGGGAGCAAACA
rnacentral:rRNA from 1 species